AUUGAACGCUGGCGGCAGGCCUAACACAUGCAAGUCGAACGAGUGGCGGACGGGUGAGUAAUGUCUGGGAAACUGCCCGAUGGAGGGGGAUAACUACUGGAAACGGUAGAUAAUCCCGCAUACCAUCGGAUGUGCCCAGAGGGGAUUAGCUAGUAGGUGGGGUAACGGCUCACUGAGGCGACGAUCCCUAGCUGGUCUGAGAGGAGGACCAGCCACGCUGUAACUGAGGCACGGUCGAUACUCCUACGGGAGGCAGCAGUGGGGAAUAUGGCACAAUGGGCGCAAGCCUGAGGCUGCCAGGCCGGGUGUAUGAAGAAGGCCGUCGGGUUGUAAAGUACUUUCAGCGAGGAGGCGUUACUCGCAGAAGAAGCACCGGCUAACUCCGUGCCAGCAGCCGCGGUAAUAC
rnacentral:rRNA from 1 species